rnacentral:rRNA from 1 species
AACGCGAAGAACCUUACCUACGUUGAACUACGCAGGAAAAGCCAUGGAGACAUGGUGUCCGAAAGGGCCUGCGAUAGGUGGUGCAUGGCUGUCGUCAGCUCGUGUCGUGAGAUGUUGGGUUAAGUCCCGCAACGAGCGCAACCCUUGUCCUAUGUUGCCAGCGGGUAAUGCCGGGGACUCGUAGGAGACUGCCGGGGUCAACUCGGAGGAAGGUGGGGAUGACGUCAAGUCUGCAUGCCCCUUACGCGUAGGGCUGCAAACAUGCUACAAUGGCCGGUACAAAGGGCUGCUAUCCCGCGAGGGUGAGCGAAUCCCAAAAAGCCGGUCUCAGUUCGGAUUGGAGUCUGCAACUCGACUCCAUGAAGUCGGAGUCGCUAGUAAUCCCGGAUCAGCAAUGCCGGGGUGAAUACGUUCCCGGGCCUUGUA